rnacentral:lncRNA from 13 species
GAUGUUGUCGUAACAUUUCUCCCUCUUGGCUGGCACACCGUAGACGUGCCGAAACUUGCUGCUUCGAACGCCACGGAACCAUGACUGCGAACAUAAUAUAAGUCCAUUGGAAUAACAUUGUGAAAAUUUAUCGUAAUCUCAUGCCAAAAAAAACCCAUAAAAAACGGAAUGCACAUGAUGUAUAUGCUGGCGACGAUUUCGAAGAAAAAAAAUUAAAGAGAAAUAUACCAUUCAUGUGUACGAUCUUCGGGAGAACUCUCUCUUAUUCAGAAACCGUGAAAAGGAAAGCUACUGGAAUCAUGAACAAAAAUAUAGGUAUUUUGUUAUCGGUUGAUAAUUGCAGAUUUUUCAGCGAAUGUUUUCAAAAGGAUAGAGCUUGCGAGGAAUCGACGCGGAAAGAAUAAUGCGCAAUAAGGUGUAAAAAUAACGAUCGGGAGAUUGCACAGAACGUCAAGUUACACCUAUAACGCGCUUCCCAUGCGCUCGUAUUCCUCGCGUGAAAUCAUGCACGAUAAUUAAACCACGCCGGCGAGCAAAACGCUACAUGAUGUUACAAUAAUUGCGAUAUCUUCUUCGUUCCGUUUAUUUUGUAUGCGAAUUUAAAAGCAGAAUACUCGAGCAAGUAUUAUAUUUUUCCUUUCAAACAAAGAUUCUAUUUUUAAACAAUAGUAAGUGAAACUAGAUAAUCACGACUAAUAUAAUUAUGUAGAAAAGAGCCUUAUUUCAUCGGAGUUGGAUAUUAGUGUCUAAUGUUUCUGCGUAAAAUUAUAUAAAUUUUCCAGUUCUGUGAAUACUGUGCGCAGAUUACUUUUCAAUCUUGAAACGCAGUUUUAACCAAUGUUAAAAUAGCAAUAACACAAAUAGAAUUAAUUUGAUAUUCAAUUUAAUAAUACUGAUACUAAAAAACAUCUAAGAUCCAGUUUUAAUCAAAUAAGACUCUUUCCUACUUAUUUGUAUUAUUUUAUUUUUUAACUCAUAUAUAUAUAUAUAUAUACAUUUUUUUUUAUCUCGAAACAAUUGUGCCAUAGGAGAAACAACGAUGAGUCACACGCGGUUGUGGCUAAUUGACGUUGCGCGAAUGUGAAAUCUCUUGAAUUUGUGUGAAUCGACAUAAUUUUACUGGCGCGUGCAGUGUAGCGCGGUGAGUUAAAUCGAAUUAUGCGACUUUUUCCCAUAAAAAAAAAAGAUCGAAUCAAGCAGACUGCGUAAGAAUCGCGGCGAAAAGAUCGACACCGAAAUUCUUUGCUCGGAAAUGGAGACGUGCAAAAUCUUCCGGAUCUAUGCGAGCCCAUUUUUCAUCCGUGGACUUUUUUUAUGAUGCUAAUUUGGAAUAAAAAUUCAU